UACGUAGGCAGCAAGCGUUGUUCGGAAUUACUGGGCGUAAAGCGCACGUAGGCGGCUUGGCAUGUCGGGUGUGAAAUCCCCGGGCUCAACCUGGGAACUGCAUCCGAAACUGCCUUGCUAGAGUAUGGGAGAGGGAAGUGGAAUUUCCGGUGUAGCGGUGAAAUGCGUAGAUAUCGGAAGGAACAUCAGUGGCGAAGGCGACUUCCUGGACCAAUACUGACGCUCAGGUGCGAAAGCGUGGGGAGCAAACAGG
rnacentral:rRNA from 1 species